UACGUAGGGGGCGAGCGUUGUCCGGAGUUACUGGGCGUAAAGGGCAUGCAGGCGGUGCGCUGCGUUUGCCAUGACAGCUCCUCGCUUCACGAGGAGAGAGUGGCAAAAACGAGCGCACUUGAGGGACACAGAGGGACACAGAAUUCCGGGUGGAGUGGUGAAAUGCGUAGAGAUCCGGAGGAAUACCAAAGGCGAAGGCAGUGUCCUGGGUGUUACCUGACGCUGAGGUGCGAAAGCCAGGGGAGCGAACGGG
rnacentral:rRNA from 2 species